AGCUUCCCAGGUCAUUCAAUAAAUGAUCCAGUAUCCAAAUAAGACUACCAAGUACAGUGCCUCUUUCUUAGUGGUAGGAGGUGUGGGUGCAAUAAUUUGUCAUUUAUAUUAAAGGGGAAUUUUCCCACAUGUUCCAGUUGAUUGGAUUUUUUUUUUUUGAGAUGGAAUAUCUCUCUUUUGCCCAGGCUGAUUUCGGCCCACUGCAACCUCUGCCUCACAGGCUCAAGCGAUUCUCCUGCCUCAGCCUCCCAAGUAGCUGGGACUACAGGCACCCACCACCACACCCAGCUAAUUUUUGUAUUUUUCGUAGAG
rnacentral:lncRNA from 1 species